rnacentral:rRNA from 1 species
GAUGAACGCUGGCGGCGUGCCUAAUACAUGCAAGUCGAGCGAACAGACGAGGAGCUUGCUCCUCUGACGUUAGCGGCGGACGGGUGAGUAACACGUGGAUAACCUACCUAUAAGACUGGGAUAACUUCGGGAAACCGGAGCUAAUACCGGAUAAUAUAUUGAACCGCAUGGUUCAAUAGUGAAAGACGGUUUUGCUGUCACUUAUAGAUGGAUCCGCGCCGCAUUAGCUAGUUGGUAAGGUAACGGCUUACCAAGGCAACGAUGCGUAGCCGACCUGAGAGGGUGAUCGGCCACACUGGAGCUGAGACGCGGUCCUGGCUCCUACGGGAGGCAGCAGUAGGGAAUCGGAGGCAAUGGGCGAAAGCCUGACGGAGCAACGCCGCGUGAGUGAUGAAGGUCUUCGGAUCGGAAAACUCUGUUAUUAGGGAAGAACAAAUGUGUAAGUAACUAUGCACGUCUUGACGGUACCUGAUCAAAAAGCCACGGCUAACUACGUG